rnacentral:rRNA from 1 species
CCUACGGGGGGCUGCAGUAGGGAAUAUUGCACAAUGGAGGAAACUCUGAUGCAGCGACGCCGCGUGAGUGAUGAAGGCCUUCGGGUCGUAAAGCUCUGUCGCAGGGGAAUAACACAAUGAAUGUACCCUGUAAGAAAGGAUCGGCUAACUUCGUGCCAGCAGCCGCGGUAAGACGAGGGAUCCUAGCGUUGUUCGGAAUCAUUGGGCGUAAAGCGGGUGUAGGUGGCUUUGUAAGUCAGGUGUGAAAGCCUAGGGCUCAACCCUAGAAGUGCAUUUGAUACUGCAAAGCUUGAGUGCUAGAGAGGUUACUAGAAUUGUUGGUGUAGUGGUGAAAUACGUAGAUAUCAACAGGAAUACCGGUGGCGAAGGCGGGUAACUGGCUAGACACUGACACUCAGACCCGAAAGUGCGGGGAUCAAACAGGAUUAGAUACCCGUGUAGUC